rnacentral:rRNA from 1 species
UACGUAGGUGGCGAGCGUUAUUCGGAUUUACUGGGCGUAAAGGGUCCGCAGGGGGUUUGCCAAGUCUGGUGUGAAAUCUCACGGCUCAACCGUGAAACUGCACUGGAAACUGGCGAACUGGAGUCUGCGAGGGGUGAGCGGAAUUCCUGGUGUAGCGGUGGAAUGCGUAGAUAUCAGGAAGAACACCGAUGGCGAAGGCGGCUCACUGGCGCAGUACUGACCCUCAUGGACGAAAGCGUGGGGAGCGAACAGG